UACGUAGGCAGCGAGCGUUGUUCGGAAUUACUGGGCGUAAAGAGUGUGUAGGCGGCGCUCUAAGUUCGGUGUGAAAUCUCUCGGCUUAACUGGGAGGGUGCGCCGGAAACUGGAGUGCUCGAACGUGGGAGAGGAAAGCGGAAUUCCUGGUGUAGCGGUGGAAUGCGUAGAUAUCAGGAGGAACACCUGCGGUGUAGACGGCUUUCUGGACCAUUGUUGACGCUGAGACACGAAAGCGUGGGUAGCAAACAGG
rnacentral:rRNA from 1 species